UCCCACAAAUCUUUUCGUUUUUUUGCUGCACGACGUGUAUGUCCUUUGGUUUUUUUCGGCAUCACGGAGGCCGGACUGAGAAGAAAAUGCUCGAAUAUCCGCGCCUUUUCUCUUUUUUCUUUCUUCGACGGAGUACGUAAUGGAAGA
ensembl:ncRNA ZK370.10 ncRNA